rnacentral:rRNA from 1 species
UAAUGUAUCGGAACGUGCCCAGUCGUGGGGGGUAACUGCUCGAAAGAGCAGCUAAUACCGCAUACGACCUGAGGGUGAAAGCGGGGGAGUCGCAAGACCUCGCGCGAUUGGAGCGGCCGAUAUCAGAUUAGGUAGUUGGUGAGGUAAAGGCUCACCAAGCCGACGAUCUGUAGCUGGUCUGAGAGGACGACCAGCCACACUGGGACUGAGACACGGCCCAG